AGACAGGACUUUGGCAAGGAACAUGAAACUCAAAAUGCCUUCACUUAUUAUAAACUUGAUGCAUUAUUAUAGGUGAGAAAGAUUUGCAACUGGGAGGACUCAUUGUUCUUUGGAUGGCUGCUGUUUCUUUAAAUUGGGUGAAAAAACUGUACAGUUGCUGAGUCAGAUGAUCUGGCAGCCUCGGAGAUUCAGAGCAAGAAAAUGGUGGCACUCAUAAAAAAAGAAAAGAAAAGAAAGCAAAACAUAAGCUUCCUUAAUACAUCUGCAAAGGGAAGUGUUCAAACACAAGGAAAGCUGCAGUAUGGGAAGAAAACAGUUGAGAGAACAAUUUGAGGCAAAUUCUUCAUCACUGGAAAAACUUCUUAUUCCAUCCUCCAUUCCGUCUUGUACCCCAGAAAGAGGAACAAAGAGAAGAAGGCCUUUCAACACUCGCUGGUGGCCAACUGGCGCGGAAGGGAUUGGCUACCGAGUUUUGGACACUUUCCUCGAAUGAACCUGACCCAUUCCGCUCCACCCCUCCAGAAAAAAGGCCUGGCCAGUUCCAAGCUGGGGAGAUGACCAAGAGACCUCCUCGUCAUUCCUUGCACCCCUCCUGAAUCCGAGAGGCCCCCACUUCGUCCUCCACCUAGUUGGGCCCCAAUCCCGCUCUAGGCAUCAGUCACUGUUAACGCAGAUCACAUCUUACCCGAGGAAACAGUUGGGGUGUGGGGCGAGGCCCGGGGCGGUUAACAACAGAAGGGGUGCAUUCGCGGAGUGGGAUGAUCAGUGGGCUAUGCCUCUAAACUCUUGCUACGGGGUCCUACCCCAGCUGCCAGUUAAAUCUCUGGGAUCCGCAGCGUCUCUAGAAAUUGAGAGGGUGGGGAGAUGGGGUCGAGGAGGGUGGUCGCAGCUAGGAGGUGGGGGAGGCUAGGUCGGUGCAGCUUUGAGUCUCGCUUCCUACGGUAGACUCUCUCUGUGGUCCUGGGGGAGGACCUUUGCAACCCCAGCCAGGCUGUGGGAGGCGGUGAGCUCCAGUUUGAAAUCGUCCGGAGAGGACUAGGGAGAGGGAUUCCUAGAAGGGGGCAAGUUAUGUGACCAGAGGCCUAAUACCCAAGCUCUUUGGAAAUAGACAUAGCUAUGCGUUUAUAGUCUAUGUAAAAACGAACUAGGUUGUGAAUAGGCACAGCGAGCAUUGGUCUGAAGUCACAACUCUCUCGUGCUUUCUCCAGACCUUACCAGAACCUUGUUAUUUAUGAUCCUUGCACAAGUCAGUUUCCUCACUGCCCAGCCCCCCCCCCCAACAAUCUAAGGCUAAGCAAGCUCUCAGUUCAUCCUUAAUGCACGAUCAUUUCAGGAUUUGAAAAUGACCAUAUAUAUA